rnacentral:lncRNA from 1 species
UCCUCGGCCACCCUCCGCCUGGACUACAUGACCCCUAGCUACUCCACCAAAGGCAACCUCAAACAAGAAAUCAAGCAGAUCAACCUGAGAAAUGGAGAAAAUCUCGAAGUCCUUCUCAAAAAAUUCAUAAUCCGACAGCCUGCCCUGAAGAUGGUCUACAGCUAAGCUUGUAAAAAUCGUCCUGACAAAAAGUAAGCUCCACUUCGUGACCAGCUUUCUCAUUCUUCAGCUGCACAUUCUCCUUAACAAGCUCAAUGUGAGCACCCUGCAACUCGUCCAGUUCAUUUCUCAGGUUCUUACUAGUAAACAGCGCACCUUACAGAUCCACUUCUUUAAACUCAAGCUUACUGGCAACCUCCUUGAGACUAGACACAUUAGCAUGUAUGAAGAUAAGCUCCUUGUCCUUGGCAAAACAAGCAGAUUGUAGCUCUGAAUUGACAUGUUUAAGGUCCUUAACCACUAGAGAAACACAACUGACUUUCUUCUCUACAGCUUCCAACAUCGCCUAAGUUGCACCAAGCUUGGCCUUCAAAUGAGCAACCUCUUGAUAAGUGAUCUCCAGCUGCAAAUAUGUGAGGGCAAAGACAUCAAACCUCUUUAAAAAUAAGAGUUCAGAUUUGAGCUUCUUGAUCUUUUCAGCAGCCGAGAAAACCUGAGCCAUCAACGCCACUUCAGCCUCCUUAGCACACUUGACAAUAUACUGAUCAACGUGCAUAGACUCAGCUGCCAGGAUCAAAGUCUUAUGCAUUAUGGCAAUCAGGGAAGACCUCCUCGAGUACUCAGGACGCCUCGUAAAAGAGUAUGAGGCGGAUGAUAACUUUCCUAAUAUUGUCAACAAACUUGGUGCAUGCGUUAAUGUCCUCAAGCAGGUCAGCCUUCAGUAGUGUACAAACCUUAGGAAACUCUUCAUCCUCAAACUUGAUGGAUCUCUCACAACUGCUCGUGUGAGAAAAAAUCACUUUCUCAGUAAACGAGUCAAUCACGGCAGAAUGAGGAACAGGCCCAGGCGCCAC